rnacentral:tRNA from 1 species
UCCCUGGUGGUCCAGUAGCUAGGGCUCCACAGUCCCAGUGCAGGGGGCCCAGGUUCAAUUCCUGGUCAGGGAA